CACGGGGGGAGCAAGCGUUGUUCGGAAUCACUGGGCGUAAAGGGUGCGUAGGCGGUCGCGCAAGUCGGAUGUGAAAUCUCAGGGCUCAACCCUGAAACUGCAUUCGAUACUGCGUGGCUAGAGUGCUGGAGAGGAGACUGGAAUUUACGGUGUAGCAGUGAAAUGCGUAGAUAUCGUAAGGAAGACCAGUGGCGAAGGCGAGUCUCUGGACAGCAACUGACGCUGAGGCACGAAGGCCAGGGGAGCAAACGGG
rnacentral:rRNA from 1 species